UGAUAGUAUCUGAAGAGGAAGGGACGGCUAACUUCGUGCCAGCAGCCGCGGUAAUACGAAGGUCCCAAGCGUUGUUCGGAAUCACUGGGCGUAAAGCGUGUGUAGGCGGCGUGGAAAGUCAGAUGUGAAAUCUCCGGGCUCAACCUGGAAACUGCAUCCGAUACUCCCACGCUAGAGUAGUGGAGGGGCAUCUGGAAUUCACGGUGUAGCAGUGAAAUGCGUAGAUAUCGUGAGGAACACUAGUGGCGAAGGCGAGAUGCUGGACACUAACUGACGCUGAGACACGAAGGCUAGGGUAGCGAAAGGGAUUAGAUACCCCUGUAGUCCUAGCAGUAAAUGGUGUGGGCUUGGUGUGGGAGGAUUCGACCCCUUCCGUGCCGGAGUUAACGCGUUAAGCCCACCGCCUGGGGAGUACGGCCGCAAGACUAAAACUCAAAGAAAUUGACGGGGACCCGCACAAGCGGUGGAGUAUGUGGCUUAAUUCGAUGCAACGCGAAGAACCUUACCUGGGCUUGACAUGCUUAUCGUAGUCCUGUGAAAGCAGGACGUCGGUUCGGCCGGAUUUGCACAGGUGCUGCAUGGCCGUCGUCAGCUCGUGUCGUGAGAUGUUGGGUUAAGUCCCGCAACGAGCGCAACCCCUAUCAUUAGUUGCCAGCACGUUAUGGUGGGGACUCUAGUGAGACUGCCGGUUUCAAACCGGAGGAAGGUGGGGACGACGUCAGGUCAGUAUGGCCCUUACGCCCAGGGCUGCACACGUACUACAAUGCCCAGCACAAUGAGAGCCGAUAUCGCGAGAUGGAGGAAAUCUAAAAAACUGGGCUCAGUUCGGAUUGGAGGCUGCAACUCGCCUCCAUGAAGUUGGAAUCGCUAGUAACGGCGCAUCAGCUACGGCGCCGUGAAUACGUUCCCGGGUCUUGUACACACCGCCCGUCACAUCAUGGAAGCCGAUCACACCCGAAGUAUCCUCGCUAACCUC
rnacentral:rRNA from 1 species